rnacentral:rRNA from 1 species
UACGUAGGGUGCAGGCGUUAAUCGGAAUUACUGGGCGUAAAGCGUGCGCAGGCGGCUCCUUAAGUCAGAUGUGAAAGCCCCGGGCUUAACCUGGGAACUGCGUUUGAAACUGGGGGAGCUGGAGUGUAGAAGAGGGGGGUGGAAUUCCAGGUGUAGCAGUGAAAUGCGUAGAUAUCUGGAGGAACACCGAUGGCGAAGGCAGCCCCCUGGGCUAACACUGACGCUCCAUGCACGAAAGCGUGGGGAGCAAACAGG